rnacentral:rRNA from 1 species
GACGAACCGUGCGAACGUUGUUCGGAUUCACUGGGCUUAAAGGGCGCGUAGGCGGGUCAUCACGUCUGGGGUGAAAUCUUUCGGCUUAACCGGAAAACAGCCUUGGAUACGGGUGGCCUUGAGGGAGGUAGGGGCAUGCGGAACUUCCGGUGGAGCGGUGAAAUGCGUAGAUAUCGGAAGGAACGCCGGUGGCGAAAGCGGCGUGCUGGACCUCUUCUGACGCUGAUGCGCGAAAGCCAGGGGAGCAAACGGG